UUGUACAACAUCUUCCCAAGCCUCCUGGACUAGGUGCCUGGGCCGCACCAACGCAUCUUCCAGAACUUCAAGUGCCUGAGAGACCUCAUCGCCCACAGCGUCCAAGACCACCAGGCCUCGCUAGACCCCAGAUCUCCCCGGGACUUCAUCGACUGCUUCCUCACCAAGAUGGCAGAGGAGAAGGAGGACCUGCUGAGCCACUUCCACAUGGAUACCCUGCUGAUGACCACACAUAACCUGCUCUUUGGCGGCACCGAGACGGUGGUCAGCACGCUGCACCACACCUUCCUGGCACUCAUGAAGUACCCGAAAGUUCAAGGUGAGGCCCACCCACACAGCAGUGCGGAGGUGCCCAUGUGUUCCAGCCUCAUCCCAGAGCAGGAAGCCACAGCCCUGCCUCCAGCCCCGCCUCCCAGGUCUGAUAUAGCCUCCUGCUGGCACCAGGAUUCCACAGCCAAACCCACAAACCCACAUGGAGGCCAAUGCCACCACAUGGCCCACGAAGUCCACGCAGCCUGCCCGAAUCCCGACCCAGAUCCCACCCACUUAAUUAUUGAUUUUUUUGUUUUUGGUUUGUUUUUUGGAAAUGGAGUCUCACUCUGUCACCCAGGCUGGAGUGCAGUGGCGUGAUCUUGGUUGGCUCACUGCAACUUCUGCCCCCUGAGUCCAAGGCAUUCUCCUGCCUCAGCCUCCCAAGUAGCUGGGAUUACAGG
rnacentral:sRNA from 1 species